rnacentral:rRNA from 1 species
AGUGAACGCUGGCGGUAGGCCUAACACAUGCAAGUCGAACGGCAGCACCGUAUGAGCUUGCUCUUACGGGUGGCGAGUGGCGGACGGGUGCGGAAGACAUCGGAAUCUACUUUUUCGUGGAGGAUAACGUAGGGAAACUAACGCUAAUAACGCAUACGUCCUACGGGUGAAAGCAUGGAAUCUUCGGACCGUGCGCGAUUGACUGAGCCCAUGUCGGAUUAGCUGGUUGGCGGGGUAAAGGCCCACCAAGGAGGCGAUCCGCAGCUGGUCUGAGAGGAGGGUCACCGACACUGGAACGGGGCCGCCGUCCAGGGUCCUACGGGAGGCACCAGUGGCGAAUAGUGGACAAUGGGGGGAAGCCUGACCCAGCGGUACCGAGCGGGUGAAGAAGGCCUUCGGGUUGGAAAGCCGUUUUGUGGGUAAAGAAAAGCUGCAGCUUGAGACCACGCUGUUGUGACGGUACCCAAAGAAGAAGCACCGGCUAACUACGUG